GCCUGCACGCGGGGAUAGGUCAGAGAUGAGCGAGUGACCUGGUUUUGACGAUCAGGUGGGAAAGCAGAAAAGGAGGCCGCGGGCUUUGCCGGCGGCGGACGAGUUGAGGCCGGCCACGUUAAAGUGGCUGCCCCUUGGCAAACGACGUAGGUGACCUCUACGAGACUGUUGCCCACGUGUUGAUCGGAGUAUCCCGCUCUCUCCCCAAUCGUUGAAUCGUACAUCUGAUCGAUCGAUCCCUAUAUAACUCUACCUCCAACGCCACCAGCAGCCGGGCUAUCACUUCGACGACGGCUUCGAGGAUAGCCACUAUCUACCGUUUUCCUUCGUCGACCUGUUGGACCUCCACCUGCGGCCUAAGUAGGCGGCGCUGGACGUCAGCUAGGUUCUUUAGUAACCGGCGAGCUCACCGCCGUCUAGGUAGUGCCUGGAGACCCAGGCUCUAGAGUCCGCGGACCGCCUGCUGUACCUUCUGACGUAGCUGGCGAAGGUCCAGCCCUUCUACCCGUCUCAGGCAAAGCAGCCCUUCUAGCCGUCUGACUUCUUCUCCAGUUUCCUCUGAGAGCUCGUCGACGUCUUGAGGUAGUCGUAGUGGCCUCGGCGGCGUGGAGGCCGAGGGCGGCCGCCCCCGUUGCUAGUCCUAGGCCUCCCCGUUGAUGAACGAGACGAAGGCGCCUCGGGUAGCCUCCCCUCCGAGUUCCACUAAAGUCAGCGGCCUAAGCCACCUCGUCCAUACUGAGCGGAACGGGUGUUCCAAAUGUCGUUGUCCCUACACGCGUCGGUCAAGGGAGACGUGCGGACCCAAGCACGUAGGGGCCCGUACUCACACGUGUUCGAAGAAGUCUUUUAUGUACUGGUUGACGACGAUUAAUCAUAACGGUUCUUAGUACCACGGUGACGGAGGUCGAGGUUUUAUUAUGGUGUCCAGUUGCCUCUUCGGCUUUGACUGGCGCCCGAGUAGCCUAAUGAGUUCUGGCCUUCCAUAAACUAACACUAACUACCACACUUAUGUGUACUCAACAUGCUGCACGAUAGACGGAAGAGAACCCGACUACCUCACCUAACGUCUUAAUAGUACUGCUGCCGGUAAGUCGACGGUCUUCGCUGUACGACGUCUACACCAUUGCCAAGUAGUGAACGAUACCUAUCGUGUUCGGUCCAAAAGUAACCUCUCGACUGUCUCUCACCUAAACACCUCCGGACGGAGGUAGAAGCACUACUGUGAUAUCUUUCUUAAGCCGCGCCGUUGUUGCUCUAGGAUAGGUCAGGACAACAGGUCCUGAAUAACGACAUAAAGACGUACAAGGGUGCGCUAGUAGGACAGUCCUCCUUAGGGAACUAUUCCGAUACCGACCGACUUCCUGAACACAAAGGAGUUGGUCUUUGUCUCUCAAAAAGGGUCCUACAACGUCGGUUCUUAAACCUCUCGGAGUAGUCGGCGUUACAGUAGGUCGGGUAAGUUCACUCCUUGAUACCUUUACACUUCUCUACGGUUUGAAAACCCUACUACGAAUUGAGGUAAAGGUCGUUUAGGUUCAGUGUCUUGAAGUAGUGGUACGACACACCAUCGCCGGUCUGCUGCCUCUCCUUAGGUGGCCCGUUUCUCUAAGCGGCCGAAAGCGAGGUAGAAUUGCCACGCCGUUUACCCGGUGAAUUAAACGGUUUCCUCAAUAGAGCAGAGGUAUGAGACCGUCAUAAGGGACUACUACGUUUACAGAGGUCCGUAGUUCGAUUAAACUUAAUACGGUUUAUAUUCGAUGACGCUCAAAACCUAGAGUUUCUUACACGGCUACACUUUCGUCUUGUACACCCGUUUUAUACACUGGACAACGACGAGUUUAUAGACUCGGAGCCCCUGUCAUAACUGUUCCAAGGCUCCUUUUAUCGCUUCGAUUUUACCAAUCUCUGAGAGCUGUACUCCUCUUGGGUCCAUCACUGCGACGGUUAACUUCAGGAGGUCGAGGGGCCCAACUUUGUGGAGGAACCUUUCAAAGUCGAUCAACUUCCGCUGACGUGUGUCUUCUUCGAUCUCUUCGAGGACAGUUUUCUAUAACUUGACGUAUCCGAAAGGCCUAAACAGUGUCUGUUUUCGCUUCCCAAACGCGUCGACUACUCAGCGUACCCCUUCAACUCCUUCCACUUUUAUACCACGCUAAGGUGGCGUCUACACUGCUUUGACCAAGUACAAAAUCCUCGGUGUUUCUUUAAGUAACCGCCUCCGGACCUAUACUGUUCUCAGCUAGCAAGAAAUAGAUAGCUGAAGGUUCCUACAGGUUGUCUUACGAGUCUUGUCAAGUACCUAAGAGACUUUCGAUGUCCGGCAGAAUGGAGCGAGUUUAACGCUCCGUUCGACUGUGUUGAGGGAGUCAAGGCACGUUUCGACUUAAUGUAGCUUCUCAAUACGGAGAGUUUCUGAUCAGACUCGCCACUGUGUUAGGACUCAUCGGACAGACCUGACUUUUACUGUGACUUUAUAAAGUUCGACCAUCUUCUAUUCGAACCAGUGAACCAGUAUUUUGGUCUCGUAAAGGCUUCGGACUUCCCCAAUACGGAGCACCCGCUCGUUUCAGAUCUCCUGUAUAGUUAGGUUCUACUUCGAUACGGGAUGGAACACAGUGAAGUAUAUGAAACACUUCGAGUCCCACUAGAAGGUCCGUAGCUGUAGUGUGCGUACCCUUCCGAUUUUCUUCAGCGCGAGGUAAGGCCUCAUGUUCUAUGCUAUUUCCUACCUACCGUUCGUCGACGUUACUUGGUAGGAUUAUCCGGGUUGCAAAACAAAUAGGUAGUACGAUUGAGGAACGGAUCUCUGAGAGGCGGCACGCUUCGUUGUCCCCUCUAACAUUUAGCCUGGUUUGGAUAACCCUCUUUUAAGUGGAGGAGAUAGUACCCCGAAAGCCAACCUACGUACCAGGUUGAAAUACGACAAGAUACUACAGAGGAGGUUAAUUUUUACGUGAGAAGAAGAGUGCCGCACUAAUGUUUCCCUUGCAGUAUCCGUUUUCCCUCCCGUGUUCGUUGUAUUGUCAACUUCCUUUAAAGUUGAUAGUCUAUCGGAUAGUACGGGAGACGGUAUUUUGGAAAACAUCGGUCCCUCCCUCCCUCUACCACAUAUAAAUGAACAGGUUUUUUUCUCCCAUGUCAUAUUAAAAAGCCAGAGUUCACGACGUCACGGACGAUAACAACGUGAUGGUACAAUGACUAAAAAAAAAAUUUAACACUCCGAAGUUUUCCAGUCCUUUGAAUAAGUUGUACCUGAAUAAACAGCCACUAACGUCGAUACUUCUAACUAUGAAGGGUAUAGAGAGACGAAAAAAAAAAUGUCUUACAUUACGAGGGAGAGAGAGUUUUACAUUCUGCAAAGAACUGUGAUUAUCAUGUU
rnacentral:rRNA from 1 species